rnacentral:rRNA from 2 species
AUUGAACGCUGGCGGCAGGCCUAACACAUGCAAGUCGAACGGUAACAGGGAGCAGCUUGCUGCUCUGCUGACGAGUGGCGGACGGGUGAGUAAUGUCUGGGAAACUGCCUGAUGGAGGGGGAUAACUACUGGAAACGGUAGCUAAUACCGCAUAACGUCUACGGACCAAAGUGGGGGACCUUCGGGCCUCAUGCCAUCAGAUGUGCCCAGAUGGGAUUAGCUAGUAGGUGGGGUAACGGCUCACCUAGGCGACGAUCCCUAGCUGGUCUGAGAGGAUGACCAGCCACACUGGAACUGAGACACGGUCCAGACUCCUACGGGAGGCAGCAGUGGGGAAUAUUGCACAAUGGGCGCAAGCCUGAUGCAGCCAUGCCGCGUGUAUGAAGAAGGCCUUCGGGUUGUAAAGUACUUUCAGCGGGGAGGAAGGUGUUGUGGUUAAUAACCRCAGCAAUUGACGUUACCCGCAGAAGAAGCACCGGCUAACUCC